CACUGGAUGACUGACAGCUGUCCUUCAUCACAACAGAAGACACAGAAAUCCUCCUCAUCAAAAACAUGACUUUGAUCUGCGUCCUCAUCUGGACUCUCCUCUGCUUCACUCAGGGGUCUGAUGGACAAAAUGUUCUUGUUGCUCAGUCAGCAGUCAAAUCAGUGCAGCUCGGUCAGACGGUCUCUAUUGACUGUAAGGUCAGUCCACAAGUGGCUCAGUACUCUGGUUCUCAAUACUACCUGGCCUGGUACCAUCAGAAAUCUGGAGAAGCUCCUAAAGCUCUGAUCUACGGAACAUCAGACAGAUUUUCAGGAAUCUCCUCCAGAUUGAGUGGAAGUGGAGCAGGAAAUGGACUUGACUUCACUCUGACCAUCAGUGGAGUCCAGGCUGACGAUGCAGGAGUUUAUUACUGUCAGAGUUAUCAUUACAUCAACAGUCAGGAUGUGUUCACACAGUGAAAAACCAUCGUACAAAAACCUCCCUCAGUCUGACUGAACAGAAACUGAACUUUGUUCUGCAGCUGGAAUCUGCUGCACAACAUUGAUACAGUUCACUGAACCAACAUAAUGAUUUCAAGGGUUAAAAUUUUAUCUGCCAUUUCUACACACAAUUUUAUCGAAUUAGCUUCAUAUCCCAUCCUAUAAAACUUUAGAACAAGACUUAGAGAAGUUUUUUGAAAAAAGCAAAACAAGAUUUCUAAAAAAGAUUCAUAUUUUAAAGUUUUAUUUAUAUGCAGUUCUUUCCAUUUUAAGAUACAAAGCCUACAUAAAACGAUUGUAUACUCUACCUUCCUCCUGCUGUCUGUUUGUACAAAUCAAAAAUCUGACUGACCCCAGGAAAAUACAUUUUUAAUGAAAGCUGAGAAAGCCUGUUUCUGAGCUUCCUAGUUACAAUAAUUCUAUACCAUUUAGGUGGUUUUACUUUCAAGCUAAUAUAUGAACCUUUAAAAUGUGGAGUUUAUUGGAAUUAAAACAUGAUUCAUUAGCAGUGGCCAGAGUUUAAUAAAUACAAACAGAUGUCCCCAAGAUGUUACGCAAGACAGAGUCAAGGUGACAACUGGCUAACCAUUUUUACAUCUGCUGAGGACGCUGCAGAGGUUG